GAUUACAACGCAUGCGCGUCAUCUGAUUAGCUGCGUGGUCAGUGGCAGUCAGUGGGAUUGUCAGUCAGUAUGCGAUGCUCAGUGGUUCAGUUCUGUUGCGGUUGUGCUGCUGUUAUCGUCGGUAAGCGCUGGUGGCAAUCUCUUGACUAAUUUUUGCUUGUUUUAAGAAUUUUGCACCUGAGUCUGACACCGUGGAAGGACCAUUCUUGCAUCAGAUUGAAUUUUGCAUCUGAGUCUGACAUCGUAGAAGGACCAUUCUUGCAUCAGAUUCUAAAGAUUUUGCACCUGAGUCUGACAUCGUAGAAGGACCAUUUUUGCAUCAGAUUAGAUUUUGCACCGGAGUCUGACAUCCUAGAAGGACCAUUCAUCAUUUUUGAUUAUAAUUUGUGGGUUACCUCUUGGGAAGCCUACGAAAAUGCCCUUUUUGUGUUUGUCAAUCCUCUAAUUUUUGUGUUUUAGGUGUCUAGCGGGCGAACGUGAUGUCGUAGGACCACGUGUUUUUUCACCAAAUUGUAGGUACUAACAUUUUUAUCAUUUUUGUAUAUAACUUAUGGGUUUAUCUCUUGGGAAACCUACGAAAAUGCCCUUUUUGUGUUCUUCGUUGUCUAAUUUUUGCUGUUUUAGGGGUCUAGCGGCCGAACCUGAUGUCGUAGGACAACGUUUCUUUCACCAAAUUGUUGGUACUAAUAUUCUCUAUCAUCUUCGUAUAUAACUUGUGGGUUUGUCUCUUGGGAAACCUACGAAAAUAAUUUUUUUUGUGUUUUUUGUUGUCUAAUUUUUGCAGUUUUAGGUGUCUAGCGGCCGAACCUGAUAUCGUAGGACAACGUUUUUUUCACCAAAUUGUAGGUAUCAUUUUCAUUUUCAUCAUUGUAGGUAUCAUAUCGUGUCGAUCAUUUUCGUAUAUUAUUUAUGGGUUUAACCUUCGGGAAACCUACAAAAUUAAAAUAAAAGUACGGUAGUUUGAUUGCUUCAAAUCACAUACUUUCUGUUAUUGCGUUGCUGUUUUCAACUUACGAACAUAGAUUGUCGCCUCUCUAACUGUGGGUCGGUUAUCAAUUGUCGUUCUUGUUUAGUCUGGCCUAGUCGUUCGUGCGCCGUAGUGUGAUGUACACGUGUUUUGUUCAUCAAAAUUCUUGACAAUUGUUUGCGUUACUAAAGAUUUUAAUUCUGUAAUUGAACUAGAAUAGAACGACAUUUAGUAAUAAUAGACCAGUAGGGUGGUUGUUUGUAGGACGUGCGUGGUGGCCGUCGGAUAGGUAUGUUCGCGUGGCUAAGAAUAUUUAUUGUUCAAGUAUUAAAUUUAUUUGAUUUCUCGCUGCUGUAUUUAUCAAUCGUGGAUUCAGUUUUGUUUCACCUGUGCGCGCGUGUCCGUUGGCAAUCAGUUAUCGUUUCGCGCAUAAGAAUAACUUUGAUGCCCAGACAAAAAUUUUGUGAGUGCACGCAUGGAGUUUGCAAUAUCUAUAGCUGAAGUGUUGGAGAUGCGAGUAUUUUAAGGCAAGUUUUUCUACUUCCGAGUUUACUAGCUGUCGAUAUUUUUUUUUAUUUAAAAAAAUGUAUCUAUUAUUAUUGUUGUCAAUAAAACAUAAUGUGAAAUUAUAA